rnacentral:rRNA from 1 species
GCAAGUCGAGGGGUAACAGGGAGUGCUUGCACUCUGCUGACGACCGGCGCACGGGUGAGUAACACGUAUGCAACCUACCUUUUACAGAGGGAUAGCCCAGAGAAAUUUGGAUUAAUACCUCAUAAUAUUUUUAACUCGCAUGAGUUUUAAAUUAAAACUUCGGUGGUAAAAGAUGGGCAUGCGUUCUAUUAGUUUGUUGGUGAGGUAACGGCUUACCAAGACUACGAUAGAUAGGGGUUCUGAGAGGAUAGUC